AGGCGUAUAGCUCAGUUGGUAGAGCAGCGGUCUCCAAAACCGCAGGUCGUGGGUUCAAAUCCUACUGCGCCUG
rnacentral:tRNA from 1 species